GUUUCAGAUUCGGAGCGGAACUGGUCUCAGAUUCUCAGACUUGCGUUAUCAGCGCGCGGGCGCAUGGGAACUUCUUUGGGGCUACCGUGAGAGCAGAGUGGCCGCAUCGGCGUUUGGGCAAUUAUACCAUCUGCAGGGUGCGAUGAAUAUCAGCAAACGCGGAUUUUGUAAACAGCAACAGCUGAUCGAGAUACAUUGGGAAUCACUUUAAUCAGUUUAUGUCAAUAAGCUUAAACUUUUAUAUUAAGGAAGUAAAAAUCUGUAUUAUAAUACGAGAUAAAAGGGUAUUUACUCUAUUAAAUUUU